GGGAUUUACACUUGAGCAUCUCUGUUAUCUUGUGGUUGAUGAAACAGAUCGCAUGCUUAGGGAGGAAUACCAAUCUUGGCUUCCUACUGUGCUCAAAAUGACUCGUUCUCACGAUGAAAGUAUCAUGCCUCAUGUUAAUAGUUUUUUUCCUUCUGUUUUUGGUCCUUUGAAAACCAUAAGGAGAUGUGGUGUUGAAAGGGGUUUUAAGGGCAAAUGCUACCCAAGACUUGUUAAGAUGGUUUUGUCAGCCACAUUAACCCGAGAUCCAAGCAAGCUUGCUCAACUUGAUCUUCAUCACCCUUUGUUCUUGACAAGUGGGAAAAGGCGUUCUGAAAAGUUGGAAUCCUACAGAGUGAUUUGCGAGUCCAAGCUGAAGCCUCUGUAUCUGGUUGCUCUUCUACAAAAUUUAGGAGGGGAGAAGUGCAUUGUUUUCACAUCAUCAGUGGAGUCGACACAUCGGCUUUGCACCUUACUGAACUUUUUUGGUGAUUUGAAACUCAAGAUCAAGGAAUAUUCAGGUCUUCAACGUCAAUCUGUUAGAAGCAAGACAUUGAAGGUCUUCCGGGAAGGAGAGAUACAAGUACUCGUUUCCUCUGAUGCAAUGACUCGUGGAAUGGAUGUUGAAGGGGUGAGAAAUGUCAUUAACUAUGAUAGGCCUCCAUUCAUAAAGACAUAUAUUCAUCGAGCUGGUCGGACAGCUAGAGCAGGCCAGGCUGGGCGUUGUUUCACACUGUUGCAUAGAGAUGAGGUAAAGCGUUUCAGGAAACUGUUACAGAAGGUUGACAAUGAUUCUUGUCCUGUUUACACUGUCCCUUCCAGUUCUGUGGAGUCUCUUCAUUCUAUUUAUGUGUCUGCACUGGAGAAACUGAAAGAGACGGUUGAAUCAGAAACAUCUAGGAAGCACAAAAUUGGUUUCAAAUCUUCAAGGACAGGCAGAGGAAAGGAGAAAAACUCAGCCAAGGAAUAGCUUUAUCAAUCAAGCAGCCUCCUUUGUGUCAGACAGUCUUUGUGUGUACACAGG
rnacentral:misc_RNA from 1 species